UCCUGGUUUCCCAGGCAGUCCGGUUAGAGUGCUUCCGAAGAAUUGCAACUAACCGCAGGGGUUGCGCUCGUUAAAGGACUUAACCCAACAUCUCACGACACGAGCUGACGACAGCCAUGCAGCACCUGUAUAGAUGCCCUAGUAAACUAGGGAGGGGAUAUCUCUACCCCGGUCAUCAAUAUGUCAAGCCCAGGUAAGGUUCCUCGCGUAGUGUCGAAUUAAACCACAUGUUCCACCGCUUGUGCGGACCCCCGUCAAUUUCUUUGAGUUUUAAUCUUGCGACCGUACUCCCCAGGCGGAUCACUUACCGCGUUAGCUUCGAUACCUACCCCCUAACGGGGACCGACAUCUAGUGAUCAUCGUUUACAGCGUGGACUAC
rnacentral:misc_RNA from 1 species